CGCCGCUGAGCCAAGAGGGACAUCUCCUCAGUGUAUCUGUGCCGGUGUGUGCACACCCCUCACAGGCACCUCACACAUACCACACAUCCACAGACAUGCAAACACAACAUAUACACAUUUCACACACAUACACACCUCACAUACACCUCACACACACCACACACCACACACACCACUCACACACAUACACAUACAAAUACACCAUAUACACAUUUCACACACAUAGCACACCUCACAUACACUUCACACAUAACACACACCACACACUACUCACACACAUACACAUACAAAUACACCAUAUACACAUUUCACACACAUAACACACACACACCACACACCUCACAUAUAUACACAUACAAAUACACCAUAUACAUAUUUCACACACAUACACACCUCACACACAUACACACCUCACACACAUACACUUCACACACACACCACACCAUAUACACAUUUCACACAUAUACACACCUCACACACACACCAC
rnacentral:lncRNA from 10 species